rnacentral:tRNA from 1 species
GACUUCGGUAGCUGCCGCGGUACGGGCGCCGGGUUUCUUCCCCGGACCGUCGCGGGCGGGAGGUCGACCGUGGGUUCCAGCCGCAUCCGUUGCCG